CAGCCGCCACGGGAAUACGUAGGGUGCAAGCGUUAAUCGGAAUUACUGGGCGUAAAGCGUGCGCAGGCGGUUAUAUAAGACAGAUGUGAAAUCCCCGGGCUCAACCUGGGAACUGCAUUUGUGACUGUAUAGCUAGAGUACGGCAGAGGGUGAUGGAAUUCCGCGUGUAGCAGUGAAAUGCGUAGAUAUGAGGAGGAACACCGAUGGCGAAGGCAAUCCCCUGGGCCUGUACUGACGCUCAUGCACGAAAGCGUGGGGAGCAAACAGGAUUAGAUACCCGCGUAGUCCCUGUCUCUUAUAC
rnacentral:rRNA from 1 species